CGCACAAACCAUACCCCCGAUCCAUAGGUUUUUCACCCUAUCCUCCCCUUUCCUCCCCUUCCCUUCGUCAACACAGCAGCCACACCUCCUCUCCCGUGCUUGCCGCCGCCACAGCCUCGCUGUGCCCGCCACUAGAUCUGCGCCCUCGAGGGUGACGGGAGCUGAAGACGAUGAGCAACGGCGCGUGGGGUUCGUGUAGGUCCUCGGCUCGUCCGUACCUCACCAGUCCGCCGGGCAAGCAAGGCCGCGGGAGACGAGCACACGAAGGUCAGCGGCAAGUGCUCCAGAGAGGAGAGAAGGCGGCACUCUAGGUGGCGGCGCUGUGCUAGCAAAAUCAAGUGGUGGCUGAGGUACACGAGAGCGAGGUGGUGCUGGAACGCAUGGGGCAGGUGGUGCUGGAACGCAUGGGGGCCAGCAGCAAGUCGCCGCAAGUGCACAACCACUCCGACGAGGUGGUGGUGGCCUACUUGCCCAUGGUGAGCCAUUGUUCUUUUCUUUGCUCCUCUCUUCUCAUGAAAAGGUUUGAUGGACGCCGAAGCCGUCUGCUCCAUCCGCCAGGAUGCUCAUAAAGGUAGUUACAGUGAGAUUGAUGUUCAUAUUAGCUUCAAUGUUGUGACAUUUUUAUUAGAUCUGAGUUGUAAUCCACUAUUUUUUUAGAUUUUACAUUUUACUAGCAAUGGGUUUCCUGCUUUACUAGCUGUGACAUUUUUCAUGCCUUUUCUUUUAAUAUAGUAUAGCGUCCAUGCUUAUGGGUUCAAUUGGACAAGCUUUUGUCACCUUCCAUCCUGUUUUAAGCUCUGUUGAUGAAUGCUUUCUACCAUGUUAGUGGGAGGUGGAGGAGGCCAACGACUAGGAGAAGGAGCAUGGAUCAUAAUCGAUGUUAUGGAUAAAACUGCUAACAAAUUGUUGCAUCAUCAUGGACAAGGUGUCAAUACUACUAGGUAGGCAUAGUGAGUAUUCCACUUAUUAUGUCCACCUUGACACGUUUCAUGGAUUGUAUGAAUUAUUUUAAAUAUGUAAACCUACUUUGGUGUAUGUCAGUUUUAGGAUGGCAACUCGCCUUUUUUUCAUGCCUUCUUAACAGUUUUGGUUCUCAUGGGGUUUGAGAUGUGUAGAUCGAGUUCAACGGAUCAGUUGCAGGUGAGUAUGUAGUAUCCUUAUCUAUUUCAUAUGCUUGACUCCACUUUCAUUUUCCUAUGAUGUAUACAUUGGGCUCAGGGCUUUGGCCUGUUCCAUCCGAGGUGUAUCAUGCUUUAUCUGAAACUCAAGUAUACAUUUGGUGUUGUUGGGGCUUCUUUGAUUGAGAUGCGAAAGAGGGCAUAUGUGAUUUUUUUAGGCCAUCUGUCCAGGUAGUGACAUUCUAAUAUGCAAGGAAUGUGUUUAUUUGAUUUUUUUAUUCUGACAUACACUAAAGUAAUCAUGACCAUCGGUAAAAGGAAGACAGUCAAAACAUGAUUAUAUUUUGUCUUGGUAUACCUCAUUUAGUUGUCAUUUGUAUAUUUCAAGGAAAUUAUUCAAUUCUUAGUUAUCUUUCCAUUGCUAUUUUCCCUACUAUGCUUAUCGGAUGGGUAGAUAAUCUUAUAAGGGGAUGCAAUGGAUUUUUGUAUUUUGGAUUCUCUGGACUGAAUAGGUUAUAUUUUUAACCCAUAAAAAUUAAUUUGACUCCAAUAUGAUCAACUGUGACUCGGAAUAUUUUUCCCAAUAGUAUCGGACAAUAUUGUAGGCACCCACCCUCCAAAGUAUACAUUUGCAUUAUCUUAUUUGAUUAUUGGACUAACUGUCAACAAUCAUGUAUAUAGACUUCCCGGAGAAAUAAACCAAGAUGGGCAUUAUCUGGUACAGCACAAGGAACCUGCCCUCCUGCUUAGGUUCUGUAGCCAUGGCCCUCGAGUUAGCGGAGAAUGGUUAUGAUGAAGACUCUGAUUCCAGUUCUCAGGUUUCUCUUGUUCUCCUUCUUCAAAUUACAUUAUCCUCUUUAUGAUUUAGCUAUUCAUGUUAUCUCAAGAGAGUGCAUGCUUUAGAUUUAGCAGCCAUACAUACUGAAAGGGACAGCUUUGGACUCCCUUGCCUUGAUUUUCAAAAGUAUAAUUACCCCAUGUAAAGACUACAUCCAUUUUGGUAUAUAUGUGAUACUGCAUGUGUAAAUUCAGAAAAUAGACCUUAUGGUCUACCUUCAGUGUUUGCAUACUGCAUAAAUCUGGAGUAUCCUUGUGGUCAUGUGAGCUUGCUAUUAUACCUUGCAUUUGCAUUAAAAUGGAGAAUUCUGUAGCUAAGAUCCUGGUAUUUGUUCUUUCUUACAUGGGAUCUCUAUCUUAGCUUGCAACCAAUGUCAAUUAUACUUACUGAAAGAUGUUAGGUUUACAAAUCUAUUUAAUGACCAAUGGCAAAGCUUUGCCGGAAUUAUGUUAAUCUAAAAGGUGUAUCUACAUUUUUAAAGUUGUGAUUUUGGCCAAUUAACACUCCUAUUAAUCUUUGGUUUCUAUCUUUGCUACAGAUCCUAUGUGCCUGCUUUAUUAUUCGGCUGCUGUGAGACAGGCCUUGUCGCCACCUCACUUGUCAUCGCAAUCGUCCCUACCUCACUUCCCUCUGCCCUCGAGGCAAGGGUAUGUACCUUACUUAAUUCUUCAAUGGAAAUUCUUUGAAUUGAUAUACAAGCAUUUAAAACACUUCAUCUAUUGGGGAGUUGCUAUAUUUUCCUAUUUUAUUGUACCCUGGCAAGGUCAUAAUCCUGUUGCAUAAAGAAUGUUUCCAUGUUCUAAUAUUGCAUGGUUUGUUUAAACUGUUGUCUGCUCUGCAUCAGAAAGAACAAAAAAUUCGAGAUUGUUUCUUUGUUCUGUAUGUUUCCUAAAAUCUAUUGUUCAGGUUGUUUUUUUCUGUUUUUCUGCAGUCCCUCGAUUGCAUGCAUUCUGUAAGACAAUAAGUUUUGGGAACCAGCACAACCCUCUAGGGGUGGCUUAUCUCAUUAUAUAUAAUGGUUGUGUUACAAUACGUACAUAUGUACAGAAGUUAUACAUAGUCUAACACCCUCCCUCAAUCUUAGCCACUUUCUAAAGAACUGAGAAGGGUAAGAUUGCGCC
rnacentral:lncRNA from 1 species